GUGGAGCAGCCUCAGAGAGUUCUGUGGCUUUUCAGCGGCAAGGCUCCUUCUCAAGGUCUCUUUCUGGGGACCGAGAGAGAAUUAGGAUUAAUGUACGUGAGCGUGGGAAACCUCCUCAGAGUUUUCCUCCUUCUGAUGUUAUGGUCCCCGAUUAGAAGGCGCUGCACAAGAGCACGUCUGUCCUCAGCUUCCAAUACAUCUUGGAGGGAUCGACUUAACCCAGCAUGACGUAGAAACUUUCAAC